UACGGAGGGUGCAAGCGUUAAUCGGAAUUACUGGGCGUAAAGCGCACGCAGGCGGUUUGUUAAGUCGGAUGUGAAAGCCCCGGGCUCAACCUGGGAACUGCAUCUGGUACUGUCAAGCUUGAGUGCAGUAGAGGGGGGUAGAAUUCCAGGUGUAGCGGUGAAAUGCGUAGAGAUCUGGAGGAAUACCAGUGGCGAAGGCGGCCCCCUGGACUAAGACUGACGCUGAGGUGCGAAAGCGUGGGGAGCAAACAGG
rnacentral:rRNA from 1 species